GUGAAUCAUCAAAUUUUUGAACGCAAAUUGCACUCCCUUCUGAUAGUAGGCCUGUGUCUGUGUGAGCGUAAAAAAAAUCGACAUCGUUGCUGUUUCGCUGUUGUUUUCGUCGGAAAUUGGGGUAUCUUAAAUCUUUGGUUUAAGUGACUUAAAAUUAUCUUUACUAUUCCUUGAACGUUUCCAAGAUUUAAUGCUUUAUAC
rnacentral:misc_RNA from 1 species